CUCAUAUACUACACAAAGAAUGGUAGACUCCAUUAUAGUAUAAAUCAAUGCAACAAGCCAUCCUCCUCUCCUCUCUCUGUGAUGGACUGGACCGCAUUUAUUCUGGACUUCAACUAGUCCUCAGAGCGUAAUAGGCUGCUGGUGGGAUGUCAACCAGGGUGUUUUGAGUUAUGAAUCCAUCAGAAGUCAAGGAGACGUCCGAUUGGACAGGGAGAUUACCUGAGACCGAUACAAGCCCCCUAGGACGCACGGGUUGGAGGACAGUCCCGUGUGUGUUGCAGGAUCCUCUCUCCUCCAUACCGACGCUCCUUCUUCUCUGUCUGGGAUUACUACCGACUGUGUGGAGUCAGGCCACCAGCAGGCCCAGCGGAGGAGAGCGCAGCGGGGGGCCG
ensembl:lncRNA